GUAGAGUUGCACCACUAUGCCUCUUUGGAGGAUCUCAUUCAUCAAGCUAUCAAGGUGGAACAACAAGUAAAGAGGAAACAAACAUACAAGGAGAGAGGAUCUCCAUUUAAAUCUCAUGAAAAGCUUAUUUGUCUAGCUACUUUUCUCAAGGUUUCGGAGAAUGAUAGCUCUGAUCCGUAUCAGCUAGGAGAAUAUUCUUUUCAUUAAUUUAGGGAAGGGCAUUUCAGAGUUCAAGUUUAUUGGCUUUGGCUUUUCUCCUGCGGCCAUAGGAAGUAGGGAGUUCAAACUGAUAUUAGAAUGACUAUAGAUGUGGUUGUUUUUAUCAAGGGGGGGGGGGGAUCCACUUAUUUAUGGAUCUGGUACAGAAUGACCUUAAAAAUCAUGUUUGCUGGCAUGUUUAUGGUCUCCUUUAUCGGUGAGACAGAGAAUACAGGGAGGCAAUCAAGUGCUAUCGAAAUGCACUGAGAAUUGAUACCGACAACAUUGAAAUUCUUCUUGACCUAUCACUCCUACAGCAGAUGAUGAUACCAGUAGUGCACAAUCAUGGAAAACAUCUCUCACAUAACUUAAUGUCUCUUUGAAGGAUAUGAUGUACCAUGGAAGGUUUUUUUCCAAAAUCUUGCUUACGUGUGGGCAUAUAUGCUGAAUUCUUUGGUAGUUGGGGGCACUAUAACUGUCUAUCAUAUGGCUUCACACAUUUUUUAGGUACUGUGUUAGCAUUUAAUGCUUUAUUUUAAUUACCACAUGAUAGUUAAUUAUGUCAUCAUCAUACAGCUUGACUACUUGAUUUUUAUUUUAUUUUAAAUAUCUUCAAUGUCUAAUAUUUGGUUAAUUUGCGAAAGAAAGUAAUUACAUAUAAAUAAUUACUAAUUUGGUUAA